ACCAACACCAAACACCUUCACUCACUCAGACCAAUAUUCGUAGAGGAAAAGCAGCGUUAAUAGUGUUUAGGCUGCCGACAACAAUAGCAACAACACCAACAAUAACAACAAUAGCAAUAAUAACGAGAACAACAGCAACAACAACAACAACAAUUGAAGCGACAACAACAAUGUCGGGCGCACCACAAGAAUGACGACAAAGUGAUGACCAAAAACGCAGUCAGCAACUUUGUUGACCAUUUGAACAACAAAUUUUUCCACCAACCCCACCCCCCUCCCCCCACCAUUCCGACGACCAUCAAGGUCCUAAUGCGAGGACUAUCGUCCACAGCCCGCCGCCCCACUUCCAUGACCAUUUUCAUUUCCAU
ensembl:ncRNA lncRNA:CR45510 long non-coding RNA:CR45510